UCCCUGGUAGUAUAUCGGUUAGUACACGCGCCUGUCAUGAGAGGUUGAUUAAGGGGUAUAUCCGCGCGAAAGCUGGGUUCGACUCCCAGCCAGGGAG